UUCAGCGAGAAAACUCAUUAUUUUUGACCCCGAUUAAGCAGGGGAACACUUUAUUGUAGUCUGGGGUGAAGUGGGUUUUGUAUUUUUGAUUUUUUUUUGGACACUUCAGCGUUACUGAACUACAGUGGUACACUGAACUGAGAGAGGUUGAAGAUAAAACUGAUAGGUCUGGUUAGCUGAAAGGAAGACCAGUCAGGAUCUUCUCUCUAUCACUCUCUCACUACAUCUUGUCACUCGCUCUCUGGUCUCUCCAGUGACCAUCUACUACUAGACAUUCUCGGGUCUCACUCGCUCUCAAAAAAAUAAAUUAUUGCAGGAUAUUGCAUAUGGGUGCUGUUCAUUUCUUAUUUGCGCAUCCUUGUUUCCUUUCCUCGCUUCUUAGCUCCAACCCCUUUGGAUGAGCGGGAAGGAUACAAGGAUGAGAUGUGAGGAGAGAGGAGUUGAAGCAAGCCAAAUGGAAAAUCCUCGCUCUCUCAAACGUCACUUCAGAGCCACGCUCCUCUGGAAGCUUCCCCACUCCUCGUUCCUCGCCUCUUCGAGGUGCAAUUAGAGAAUUGUUGUGACCUUCAAGAUGG